rnacentral:rRNA from 1 species
AGAGUUGAUCAUGGCUCAGGAUGAACGCUAGCUACAGGCUUAACACAUGCAAGUCGAGGGGCAGCAGAUCGAAAGCUUGCUUUGAUGCUGGCGACCGGCGCACGGGUGAGUAACGCGUAUCCAACCUUCCCUAUAGUAGAGAAUAGCCCGGCGAAAGUCGGAUUAAUGCUCUAUGUUGUAUUUAGAGGACAUCUGAAGAAUACCAAAGGUUUACCGCUAUAGGAUGGGGAUGCGUCUGAUUAGGUAGUAGGCGGGGUAACGGCCCACCUAGCCGACGAUCAGUAGGGGUUCUGAGAGGAAGGUCCCCCACAUUGGAACUGAGACACGGUCCAAACUCCUACGGGAGGCAGCAGUGAGGAAUAUUGGUCAAUGGACGGAAGUCUGAACCAGCCAAGUAAGCGUGCAGGAUGACGGCCCUAUGGGUUGUAAACUGCUUUUAUAUAGGGAUAAAGUCGGGGACGUGUCCCCGUUUGUAGGUACUAUAUGAAUAAGGACCGGCUAAUUCCGUGCCAGCCGCCGC